rnacentral:rRNA from 1 species
GUCCUACGGGAGGCAGCAGUGAGGAAUAUUGGUCAAUGGUCGGGAGACUGAACUAGCCAAGCCGCGUGAGGGAUGAAGGUACAGAGUAUCGUAAACCUCUUUUGUCAGGGAACAAAGGCGGGGACGCGUCCCCGGAUGAGUGUACCUGAAGAAAAAGCAUCGGCUAACUCCGUGCCAGCAGCCGCGGUAAUACGGAGGAUGCGAGCGUUAUCCGGAUUUAUUGGGUUUAAAGGGUGCGCAGGCGGUCUGUUAAGUCAGCGGUCAAAGCCCGGGGCUCAACCCCGGUCCGCCGUUGAAACUGGCAG